rnacentral:rRNA from 1 species
UGCGUAGGCGGAUAGAUAAGUCAGAGGUGAAAGCCUCCCGCUCAACGGGAGAACUGCCUUCGAUACUGUUUAUCUUGAAUGAGGUUGAGGUUAGCGGAAUGUGACAUGUAGCGGUGAAAUGCAUAGAUAUGUCAUAGAACACCAAUUGCGUAGGCAGCUAGCUAGGCCUUUAUUGACGCUGAGGCACGAAAGCAUGGGGAGCGAACAGGAUUAGAUACCCUGGUAGUCC